GAUGAAGAACGUAGUGAAAUGCGAUAAGUAAUGUGAAUUGCAGAAUUCAGUGAAUCAUCGAAUCUUUGAACGCAUCUUGCGCUCCUUGGUAUUCUGAGGAGCAUGCCUGUUUGAGUGUCAUUAAAUUCUCAACUACACUGACUUUGAAUUGGUGUGGCUUGGAUUUGGGGGGAAAAUUGUUGUGGGCUUUUUGUAUAGUCUGCUCCCCUGAAAUUGAUUAGCGGUACCUUUGUGGAACUGUCUGCAGGUGUGAUAAUUAUCUACAUCUUAGACAUCUGCUGGAAUGCUGCUUUCUAAACCUUACUUGUAUUGACAAUCUUGACCUCAAAUCAGGUAGGACUACCCGCUGAACUUAAGCAUAUCAAUAAGCGGAGGA
rnacentral:misc_RNA from 1 species